rnacentral:ncRNA from 1 species
UCGCAGAGUAGAAGCGUUCAGCUGGUGUCCCACCACCCGCCCGGAAAUUGCUCUUGUA